rnacentral:rRNA from 1 species
GAUGAACGCUGGCGGCGUGCCUAAUACAUGCCAGUCGAGCGAACAGACGAGGAGCUUGCUCCUCUGACGUUAGCGGCGGACGGGUGAGUAACACGUGGAUAACCUACCUAUAAGACUGGGAUAACUUCGGGAAACCGGAGCUAAUACCGGAUAAUAUAUUGAACCGCAUGGUUCAAUAGUGAAAGACGGUUUUGCUGUUACUUAUAGAUGGAUCCGCGCCGCAUUAGCUAGUUGGUAAGGUAACGGCUUACCAAGGCAACGAUGCGUAGCCGACCUGAGAGGGUGAUCGGCCACACUGGAACUGAGACACGGUCCAGACUCCUACGGGAGGCAGCAGUAGGGAAUCUUCCGCAAUGGGCGAAAGCCUGACGGAGCAACGCCGCGUGAGUGAUGAAGGUCUUCGGAUCGUAAAACUCUGUUAUUAGGGAAGAACAAAUGUGUAAGUAACUAUGCACGUCUUGACGGUACCUAAUCAGAAAGCCACGGCUAACUACGUG